UACGGAGGGGGCUAGCGUUGUUCGGAAUUACUGGGCGUAAAGCGCACGUAGGCGGACUGGAAAGUCAGGGGGGAAAUCCCGGGGCUCAACCACGGAACUGCCUUUGAAACUCCCAGUCUUGAGGUCGAGAGAGGUGAGUGGAAUUCCGAGUGUAGAGGUGAAAUUCGUAGAUAUUCGGAGGAACACCAGUGGCGAAGGCGGCGCACUGGCUCGAUACUGACGCUGAGGUGCGAAAGCGUGGGGAGCAAACAGG
rnacentral:rRNA from 1 species